UCAGGUGGCAUGGCAGGAGACUUGGCACCUACCAGAUGUCUUAGCAUUCAGGUGGAGUGGUACUGCCAGCUGCCUGGCCUCUGAGGAUAGGCAGGAGUCUCAGUGUCAAGCUGUGAGCCACACAAAGGGCAGGUCCAUGGCAGGCCACUGGGAGCCAGUGUUAAGCCUACACAAUCCUGUCCACAGGGAUGCCACCAUCCGUCCCAACCCCAAGACAUGUCCUUUAGAAGCCACAUGCAAGUCAGGCCUCUACCAAGGCCACAGGCAGCCUCCCUGUAGGUGGGAGCCAGGCUGCUCUGCCCAGGUGCCGAUGCCCUUGCUUGAACUCCAGGGCAGCAUGACUCCACCUCUGCCCAGCAGCCUUUACUUCAACCACUGACUGUGGAGAGCAAAGGUGCCCACUGUCCCUAACCCACAUAAUGUUAGUUACAAGGCUUGUUGAGAAUGACUCACAGUGAUAGAAAAUAAACUCUGCUGCAGUUGAA
rnacentral:lncRNA from 1 species